rnacentral:lncRNA from 1 species
GUGAUGGAAUAUCACUCUUCUGAAUAACUUAUGCCAAAUAAGUCUCCAUCUUGAUAGCAGAAUCACUCUAAAGUCUUUUUUUUUUAUCCUUAGUGGCUUUGAAGAAGCAAGCUGCAAUAAAUCCUAUAGCUUCAAGAAAAUCAAUUCUCCUGACAAGCAGGAGCAGCUGCAGCAGCUGCACUUCCCUCUGGAGGAAACCAGCCUGGGAGAAGAAAGGCCCUAUAGAAUUAUCACGGACUAACACCAAGCAGAAAUAUGAACCUGCUCAAUGACUUUGUGCAUACAUGGCAAAAGUUCGAGUUUUACUUGUUUCUCAAUAUUUACAGAUAUUUUAAAGUAAUAAUUCUGA